GUUGAUAGAAGGCAAAAAAGAAAGAAUUUCCAAUAAAUAUCAGGUGAUAAAAGCCAAUCAAUGCCCCACUCUUCUCACCAUCAGUGACUGAAUGCCCAAACCAUCGUCCUGCACUAGCUGGUAGAUCACGCCCCAAGCAACAAGAUGCACUCCAUGUCCUCCAUCAUAAGAGCCCCAUAGGAAGUUUCAAAACAACUGUUCAAUCUUCAUGAGCAUAGAUCUUACGAUGAUGGUAUUGGACAUAAGAUAGAUCAGUAUAAAGCUGAGGAUCAAUCUCAUUAAUAUCAGCCUAUCCAUCAUGGAUAAGCACAA
rnacentral:lncRNA from 1 species